rnacentral:lncRNA from 1 species
UUGUCUCCUUUCCUCCAGCCUCCCUGAAAGAUGGGAGGCCAGGGGUUUUACAGGUUUAUGAGGAAUGUGGCUGCUUGAUGGGGGGUGGGGUGGAGGAGUCAGUGGCCUUACUGGUUGGAUCUUUCCCACUAGCCUGCAAUCGACCUUGGGAGGCUGCUUACAAGAAGGAGGAAGAUAAGAGAAUUUGCAGGCUGGCAAAAGAAAGUAUAACAGUUUUGUACACCGCUGUUUACGCAGAACCUGGAAGAGUUCCUGUAAUAUACAAGUGUUCAGUAAAGAAAUGGAAGUUUACUUUACUGCAAAAGUGACCACACAGGUUUCACCAAAAGGCCAAUUUCAGUCAGUGUGGUAUGUGGUGAUGAGAAAUUGACAGAGAAUCUGCAGUCUUCAAGAACCAAAGACGAGAUUCUGGGACACCCACAGCUGCUGGAGAGUAAGGAGGAAAUUCUACAAACAAGAGAGCCAGAGAGAAGGAUUUCAAAUUUUCAUGUGUUAUUCUGCAAAAAUCUGUGACUUACACCUGAACUGCCUG